GUCCAUGACUCCAUGGGGGCUGUCGCACGUGGCUGUCUCCCUUCCUAGGCAUGGAAGAGCAGUGCUUGCUAAUUGGCAAAACUUUUACCGUCUUGUGGGUAUGAGUCAUUGACUGUGGCAAGUGACAGGC
rnacentral:snoRNA from 1 species